rnacentral:rRNA from 1 species
CCCUUAGAUGUCCUGGGCCGCACGCGCGCUACACUGAUGCAUUCAACGAGUUUUACCUUGGCCGAGAGGCCUGGGCAAUCUUUUAAACCUGUAUCGUGAUAGGGAUAGAUUAUUGCAAUUAUUAAUCUUGAACGAGGAAUUCCUAGUAAACGCAGAUCAUCAAUCUGCAUUGAUUACGUCCCUGCCCUUUGUACACACCGCCCGUCGCACCUACCGAUUGAAUGGUCCGGUGAAGCCUCGGGAUUGUGGCCAGUUCACUUUAUUGGGAGUUGGCUGCGAGAACUUGUCUAAACCUUAUCAUUUAGAGGAAGGUGAAGUCGUAACA